AAGUCGUAACAAGGUUUCCGUAGGUGAACCUGCGGAAGGAUCAUUACCACGUUCCAAACGUAUUAACCAAAUGAGAAUCGUUUUCAAACACUCCCAACAUAGGAAAUGAGCUGGUAACUAGCAAACGUGUGUGUGCGGAGUCUUUUAUUAGACUUAGCGUAUGCUAAAAUAUUUAUUGCGUAAAAAACAAUAGACAGCUGAAUUUUUAUGUGUGGCAUAAUUUCCAUCUACUUUGAUUACCGACACCAAUCGUGAGUAGUGUGGAUAACAUUUUUAAUCAAUAACUAUAUUUACCCAAUUUUUGCUAGUUGACUUUUCUAUGUUAUUCUUUUUGUUAAUUCAAACUGAAUACACGUUUUAAUUAUUUAAACGUUUAAAAAUACAACUCUUAGCAAUGGAUAUCUUGGUUCUC
rnacentral:misc_RNA from 1 species